GCAUCUGGGGAUAUUUAAAGCUUUGGUGGAUACGGAUUGGCUCGCGUGAAAUUAGCUGGAUGGUAGGGUAAAGGCCUACCAAGGCGAGGACGGGUAGGGGUUCUGAGAGGAAGAUCCCCCACACUGGAACUGAGACACGGUCCAGACUCCUACGGGAGGCAGCAGUGAGGAAUAUUGGACAAUGGAUGGAAAUCUGAUCCAGCCAUGCCGCGUGAAGGAAGAAUGUCCUAUGGAUUGUAAACUUCUUUUGUAUGGGAGCAAUAAGGUCUACGAGUAGGCCGAUGAGAGUACCGUAGGAAUAAGCACCGGCUAACUCCGUGCCAGCAGCCGCGGUAAUACGGAGGGUGCAAGCGUUAUCCGGAUUUAUUGGGUUUAAAGGGUGCGUAGGCGGUCUAUUAAGUCAGCGGUGAAAGUUUUCAGCUUAACUGGAAAAAUGCCGUUGAUACUGAUAGGCUAGAAUAUGGUUGCUGUGAGUGGAAUGUGUGGUGUAGCGGUGAAAUGCAUAGAGAUCACACAGAAUAUCGAUUGCGAAGGCAACUCACAAAGCCAUUAUUGACGCUGAUGCACGAAAGUGUGGGGAUCAAACAGGAUUAGAUACCCUGGUAGUCCACACUGUAAACGAUGAUAACUAGCUGUCGGCGAUACACAGUCGGUGGCCAAGCGAAAGCGAUAAGUUAUCCACCUGGGGAGUACGACCGCAAGGUUGAAACUCAAAGGAAUUGACGGGGGCCCGCACAAGCGGAGGAACAUGUGGUUUAAUUCGAUGAUACGCGAGGAACCUUACCCGGGCUCGAACGGUGCAGGAAUAUGGUAGAGAUAUCAUAGCUAGCAAUAGUCUGUAUCGAGGUGCUGCAUGGUUGUCGUCAGCUCGUGCCGUGAGGUGUCGGGUUAAGUCCCAUAACGAGCGCAACCCUUAUCGUUAGUUGCCAGCGGGUUAAGCCGGGGACUCUAGCGAGACUGCCACCGUAAGGUGAGAGGAAGGUGGGGAUGACGUCAAAUCAGCACGGCCCUUAUGUCCAGGGCUACACACGUGUUACAAUGGCCGAUACAAAGGGCAGCUACCAGGUGACUGGAUGCUAAUCUCUAAAGUCGGUCUCAGUUCGGAUCGAAGUCUGCAACCCGACUUCGUGAAGCUGGAUUCGCUAGUAAUCGCGCAUCAGCCAUGGCGCGGUGAAUACGUUCCCGGGCCU
rnacentral:rRNA from 1 species